GAACUAAACACACACACACAUCUAUAUAUAUAACCAGAGAAAACAAAUGUUUUUAUUUUUAAAUUGGUCUGAAAAACACAGGCUUUGAAUUGACUUCACACACCAAAGCCUGCAUUUCUUCUCCACUCAAUCACCCUUUGCUCCGAAUCCUAGCAAACUAUCUCACCCUUUUCAGUUAAUCAUUCAAGGUCCCAUACAAAUUCAAGGCUUAACCUGCACAAUGUGACCCAUAAGCUUGAAGCCACUGUACAAUGCAGAAAAAGGUGAUUACUUGUUCCUUCAUCUGUUCUUCAUGUCAGACACUGAGAGACAAAGCUGUCGGUCCGAUGUACCAGAAACAGUGGCAGUUCUUAAGUGUGGUAUUACUGAUUGAACAGGCACACAUUUUCUAUUGCUGAUAGCUUAGCCAGUGUCUUCUUGUGAAUUGGAAUGAUUAUUCUGCCCUUGUGAUGAAAUUGUAGCAGCAAGCUUAGUUUUAUUCCUGACAUAAAAAGAAGUACAAGGAUUGUGCAGGUGCUGAAGAUUUUUAGCAGAGCUUCAAGAAUCUACUGAUCAUAAAACCAGGCAAGUGGUAUGUUAUUAUUUAAUUAAUCUGAAAGUAUUGAUUUUGAAACAAAAAUACAAUGAAGUAGCAAAUAAUCAAGAAUGGAAUAAAUAUAUCAUUAUAUAAAUUGAAUGUUAACUCAUUCAUUAGUGAUAGUUGAUAUUCAUUCAA